rnacentral:lncRNA from 1 species
CAGAGUGAGACUCUGUCUCACUCUGUUGCACAGUUUACAACAACAAAACUAUAGCAUCCAUCACAUAGAGGAGAGACUCCCCAACACACAUAUAAGGAUUACUCUCAGCCCCAGCUCCCUCAAACUUCCUAAGAUCAGCACUGGUAUCUGAUGGUGGCUCCUUGUAAAUCAAACUUAAUGGAGUAUGUGUUAUUUGGUUUAUGUUUAUGUGCAGCCUGCAUAACAACCACUCUGUCAACAUCAUGCAUAUGUUCAUUGUGUUGGUACUAGAAGACUCUAUGACACACACAAGCUGAUGUCAUCUGAUGGGUCUAUUUUAUCUACUUGGCUGUGCAAAUCCUCUUCUGUAGUAUAUGCUUUCUGGUGGACACUAAUAUGGAACACAAAGAUCUUCUCACAUUGCAGCUGCUCCCAUAUAUCCAUUGAUAUAUGCCUCUAACUCCAGACCUUUUUGUCCUUAAUCUUCUAAUCCGGUUAUCUCUUUUCCUUUAGUGCAAUUUUUCCUUAUUUGUUUGUUUUGUUUUUUUUUUUAAGUAAAUAGCUAGGCUUCUAAGCCCUACCACAGAGAGUCAACAGACAAACUGCCCAGGGAAAAGUUAUGACCUCAGGCAAAGUGAAUUUCUACAGCUAAGGCAGAUCCUGAAGAAGCUCACAAAUAAAGGCUGCAUACUCACACAUUCCCUGAAGCUUGACAGUGCCAGCCACCAUACUGUGAGGGAGCUGAAGUAAGCCCACAUGAGGAAGAAUUGAGGUCCCAAGCCAACAGCUGCAGCUAAGAUCCAAGCUCUCAACCAGUACCAGUUCAUCCGUUAUGCACACUAAGAUAUGGAAGCUAAAAGAGGACUAAGAGGAUUCUGGGGAUAUUACAAGAUAUUGCAGACUAUCUUGUUUUCCUGGAAAAGGAUUUUACCUCAGUCGACUGAAUUACUUUUUUCACUGUGUCUUGCCACUCUUCGUGCAUGCAUCAAAGACCCUAAUAUGACUUCUGGUGGCCUGGGACUCCUUGGGAAAACAGAAAAGGGGCCACAAAUCCCAUUUUGGGAACAAUCUGUUUUACUCAUGGAACCCCUGGAAUUAGAGCAAAAACUGAUCUAUGGCAGUUUUGCAGAAGAGAAUGGAAAGAAGUUUGGAGCUGCUCAAGGGCUACAAAUGCCAUGCUAGGAAGUUCACUUCAUCCUUUGGGAAGAUAAUGGAGAUGCAACAGAAC